UUUUACUUUUAUUUGUUUUGUAGUUUUCAUAAAGUAAUAUACCUUGCAUUUCCUAAUAUUUUCUUUUGAACUUUGUUUUGCACUUUUUGUAUUUAGACUUAGUUGUUAAAUUUUCUUCAAUAGUGAUGAUAUUAUCUUUUUUCCCCAUCCUAGUUUGCUUGAGGAUAAUGAAGAAUCUGAAAUAAAAAAAAAAAGUGUACUAUAUGUUAUCCAUUUUUUCCACUGGAUAAUUAAGUUUUUAUUUUCCUCCAGGCAGUGCAACAUGUUACAUCGUUGGCGUAUAAUUAUUAGUUGUCUACACUAGUUAAGGGAGAAUUCCAUAACUGAGCAGUUCCUUCAAGCAGUGCAACAUGUUACAUCAUUGGCGUAUAAUUAUUUAGUUGUUUAAACUAGUAAAGGAAGAAUUCCAUACCUGAGCAGUUUGUUCAAUGAGAUUUGCCAUCCUGGAGAUAAAACAUCCUUCUGAGCAGCUCCCUCACAGUGGUAACUAUUAUUAUUUUUUAGUUGAUUGAAAAUGCUUCCUUUGUGUAUGUGUAAAAUGUGAAAGGUAUGUCGAUAGGUAAUUAUCUUAACUUCUGACUAAACCCUACCUGUUUUAAUUAAAUGUCAUAAUGGUGUCAAUGCAUUUGUACUGAUGUGGAGCAGGGUCUUUUCAGUGUUGUGAAAAUGUUUUCCUGGGGCCAGGCAAAGUGACAUUGGUAGUAAAAGAGUUACAGGACAAAUGAUAAAUAACACUUCAAUAUAGGAAGUGUCAGCCAGAAAAGGUAGUUUUCUUGCCAGUGCAGGGUGAUUCAGAGAAAACACAUUCAUUCAGUCACUGUCUUUCCAGAAGUGUGCUCUAAAGAAAACAUUCACUCAAUCACUGUCUUUCCAGAAAUGUGCUGAUAUCACAGUCAGAUUACCCCUCCGACUGCAACAUCUCCAACCUCCUCCAAAAUGAUGAAAAUUGCCUGAAUAAAGCAUGCCACUGGUAUGCAGCUGUUGAUCCCUGCAUGGCACUUAUUAGGCUAAUUUAAGAAAUUACUGAAAAGAUUCUGCUCUUGACCAGUAUUUACUUCCAGGUUUGCCUUACUGGGAAAAAAAAGGAAAAUAUCCUUCUGAGCAGUUCCUUCACAGUGGCAAACUAUUUUCAAAUUUUGUACUUUUAUA